rnacentral:rRNA from 1 species
CCGAGACUUUAUGUCUCCUAAAGAGCCGUUGAAGACUACGACGUUGAUAGGUUGGAUGUGGAAGUGCGGUGACGCAUGAAGCUGACCAAUACUAAUUGCUCGUGAGGCUUGACUAUACAACACCCAAACAGUUG